GAUGAACGCUGGCGGCGUGCUUAACACAUGCAAGUCGAGCGAGAAGUUUUGAAAAGAUUCUUCGGAUGAAAUUUAAAAUGGAAAGCGGCGGACGGGUGAGUAACGCGUAGGCAAUCUGCCCCAUACAAAGGGAUAGCAUUUGGAAACGAAUAUUAAUACCUUAUGAAACUUAACUAGUGCAUGCUAGGUAGGUCAAAGAUUUAUCGGUAUGGGAUGGGCCUGCGUCUGAUUAGCUAGUUGGUGAGGUAACGGCUCACCAAGGCGACGAUCAGUAGCCGACCUGAGAGGGUGAACGGCCACAUUGGAACUGAGACACGGUCCAAACUCCUACGGGAGGCAGCAGUGGGGAAUAUUGCACAAUGGGGGAAACCCUGAUGCAGCAACGCCGCGUGAACGAUGAAGGCCUUUGGGUCGUAAAGUUCUGUUCUAGGUGAUGAAAACUGACAGUAACCUAGGAGAAAGCCCCGGCUAACUCCGUG
rnacentral:rRNA from 1 species